AGCGGCGGACGGGUGAGUAACGCGUGGGAAUUUACCAAAGAGUGGGGAACAACUGCUGGAAACGGCAGCUAAUACCGCAUACGCCCUAUGGGGGAAAGGCUUAGGCCGCUCUUUGAGAAGCCCGCGUACGAUUAGUUUGUUGGUGGGGUAAUGGCCUACCAAGACUACGAUCGUUAGCUGGUCUGAGAGGACGAUCAGCCACACUGGGACUGAGACACGGCCCAGACUCCUACGGGAGGCAGCAGUGGGGAAUAUUGGACAAUGGGCGAAAGCCUGAUCCAGCGAUGCCGCGUGAGUGAAGAAGGCCCUAGGGUUGUAAAGCUCUUUCGGUGGGGAAGAUAAUGACGGUACCCACAAAAGAAGCCCCGGCUAACUCCGUGCCAGCAGCCGCGGUAAUACGGAGGGGGCUAGCGUUACUCGGAAUUACUGGGCGUAAAGCGAGCGUAGGCGGUUAACCAAGUUGGGGGUGAAAGCCCGGGGCUCAACCCCGGAAAUGCCCUCAAAACUAGUUAGCUAGAGGACGGGAGAGGGGAGUGGAACUCCCAGUGUAGAGGUGAAAUUCGUAGAUAUUGGGAAGAACACCAGUGGCGAAGGCGACUCUCUGGACCGUUUCUGACGCUAAAGCUCGAAAGCGUGUGUAGCAAACAGGAUUAGAUACCCUGGUAGUCCACGCCGUAAACGAUGAGUGCUAGACGUUGGGGGGAACGCCCUUCAGUGUCGUCGUUAA
rnacentral:rRNA from 1 species